UUAUGGAUCCUGUUAUGCGACUGGGAGACUGCCGAAUUCUGCUGCUGCGCCGUGUGCAACAGGGCUCGGAUCUGCUCGAUUCCCCUACCAGCCUCUGAAUCAGUCGGCUGGAGGGAAUCGGCUAUCUUGGCAGCUGCAGCCAAGUUGAGGAGGGUUGUGCGGAACAACUCCACGUUGCUCCGCCGAGUGUGUCGACUGGCAGAACGGCGAGGCGGACGACGCGCGCCGGACGUUUCGCCGAUCUCGUGCUCGUUCCGGCCAGCUUGACGGGGAUCUUCUUGGGAGCUGGCCAUGUGUACUUCUGCUGCAGGCCCGCGACCCGCGUAUUCGGAAGGAAACUCAGUCGGAACCGAGCCCGAGUGCUGGGACUGCGGGGCAACCACAACAGACUCUAGAACCGCCACUUGUGAAGACGUGUUCUGGUGCGCCUGGGCGUGUUGCACCCAACGCUGAAGUCGCGGACGGCGAGACCGCUUGCUGCGACGCGUGACGGCGGUGCAGGUCGACACCGGAGCCGACUGUUGGAGAAGAAGAAUGC
rnacentral:lncRNA from 1 species